GGAUGGAUGGCCGAGCGGUUUAAGGCACCGGUCUUGAAAACCGACGCACGUGCGAGCGUGCCGUGGGUUCGAAUCCCACUCCAUCCG
rnacentral:tRNA from 1 species